UCACCGGGUGAGACAUUUUGCAU
rnacentral:miRNA from 1 species